rnacentral:rRNA from 1 species
AUUGAACGCUGGCGGCAGGCCUAACACAUGCAAGUCGAACGAGUGGCGGACGGGUGAGUAAUGUCUGGGAAAGUGCCUGAUGGAGGGGGACAACUACUGGAAACGGUAGCUCAUACCGCAUACCAUCAGAUGUGCCCGGAUGGGAUUAGCUAGUUGGUGGGGUAACGGCUCACCAAGGCGACGAUCCUUAGCUGGGCUGAGAGGAUGACCAGCCACAAUGGAACUGAGACACGGUCCAGACUCCUACGGGAGGCAGCAGUGGGGAAUAUUGCACAAUGGGCGCAAGCCUGAUGCAGCCAUGCCGCGUGUAUGAAGAAGGUCUUCGGGUUGUAAAGUACUUUCAGUGGGGAGGCGUUACCCGCAGAAGAAGCACCGGCUAACUCCGUGCCAGCCGCCGCGGUAAUUC